GGAAGGACAGCGUUCUGGACAUCACACCUCCAUAGCCAGGCGUGGGGUCCUCGGCAUCCGCCAUAUUAGGUCUACCAUGUGUGGUAUCAUUGCCGUCUGAGUCAGAUUCGCACAGCCCCAGUAAAGUGAGUGAGCCUCCAGGGUGGGGACCGGGAUCUCCCCCGCCGGUCCAUAGGGGGGGGUAGCAGGGCACCAUCAAGAUUUGGAUGUAGGUCCGCCUGAGCUUGGCUGGGAGAGCGGCCGCCUCUCCCUUCC